GGCAAAAUCCCCGGCUGCUUCAGUAUGUACCUGAAGGUCAACCUCAACCAGAAGCUCAUCACCCCAGAAGAAAACCCUGUAGUACUUGAGGAAUUCUAGCCAAGUUUCCAGAUCAGUACCCCUAGUCUUGGUAGCUCCAAGGAGACAAUGCUGAGCACUUAGAGAUCCUUUGGCUGAACACCAAUGAAAGCCCAGCAUAGUCAGCAAAGGUCUGGAGGAUUCCCCCAAUGCAAAUAUCUGGUGGAUGGAAGAGGAUGCAGAGGUGAAUCCAUGCAAAUUGCCACCCUCUUUCAUUGGUGGGGCAUCUACUGGAGCAAAAGCACUUCUGUUCAUUGAACAAAGGGAUAUACCAUGUGUAUAGAAUUACUACUUUUAUGUUUCUUUAAACAUGUACACUGUGUGUGUGUGUGUGUGUGUGUGUGUGAGUGUGUGAGAGAGAGAGAGAGAGAGAGAGAGAGAGAUCUACAUGUUACAGAAAUGAUCAAAUUAUCUCCUGACCUUCUGAAUUGUUGCAGAACAUGUUAUUCGUUAUCCCAUACUUUUGUACAACAACAGGGCACGGCACACCUGUGCAACUUUGUUGCAGAGUGCUAAAGGCAUAUUAGGAUGUGGCAACGCAAAAUUAAAUGGAUGACUGACAAACAGCUGCGUAAAUGAGCAUCUGGAAUAUUUCAUGAGCACAUAUAACAAGUUGUUUUGUAAUGUACUAUAGUGCACAUUUUGGAAACAAACUCACUACCAAUGUUUAUUUUUCAUCCUGGGAUUUAGCUGGGGUAAGAUACCUCCCUCAUAGCCAUUCCCUGUUGAGUCUUUUACUUUGCUGCUCAUGAGAUAUUGGGCCGUAAUGGGCAAUCGUUUUAGGGAUGAAGUUACAAUUCUGUUGCAAGAAGUCACAACUCUUAAUAAAAACAGAAAUGAAAAUUCCUAGCCAAGGAAUGCAUCUAAUUUUAGUAUUUGCUAAUGAUUUUUAUGCCAACAUGCCUGUACAGUCUAUUUUCUUUUUAGAUGAGCCAGUCUUUUAAGCGAUUAUUUUGUAUUGUUUUAUGAUAUUUUGCUGUUCACCACCUUGAUUUUUUAUGUGAAAGGGCAACAUGUAAAUACUUGAAUCAAUAAAUAAAAUAAAGGUUUGGUAAA